rnacentral:rRNA from 1 species
ACGGGUGAGUAACGCGUGGGAAUCUACCCAUCUCUACGGAAUAACGCAUGGAAACGUGUGCUAAUACCGUAUACGUCCUUCGGGAGAAGGAUUUAUCGGAGAUGGAUGAGCCCGCGUUGGAUUAGCUAGUUGGUGGGGUAAAGGCCUACCAAGGCGACGAUCCAUAGCUGGUCUGAGAGGAUGAUCAGCCACACUGGGACUGAGACACGGCCCAGACUCCUACGGGAGGCAGCAGUGGGGAAUAUUGGACAAUGGGCGCAAGCCUGAUCCAGCCAUGCCGCGUGAGUGAUGAAGGCCCUAGGGUUGUAAAGCUCUUUCACCGGUGAAGAUAAUGACGGUAACCGGAGAAGAAGCCCCGGCUAACUUCGUGCCAGCAGCCGCGGUAAUACGAAGGGGGCUAGCGUUGUUCGGAUUUACUGGGCGUAAAGCGCACGUAGGCGGACUAUUAAGUCAGGGGUGAAAUCCCGGGGCUCAACCCCGGAACUGCCUUUGAUACUGGUAGUCUUGAGUUCGAGAGAGGUGAGUGGAAUUCCGAGUGUAGAGGUGAAAUUCGUAGA